AGCUCAGCACAGCAUCCAAAUUCCCAAGCAGCUCCCUGCCGCAGGCAACCUAAGCAAGCUUAAGUGAUUUCAGCUCUUUGUGAUUAUCAGCUCUUUGUGAUUUCAGCUCUUUAGCUUGCUAGGUGCAGCAGAUGCAGGGAGAGAGAGGAGAAGUGCUGUAUGAGGUUCCGAAGAAUUCUUUAUUGAUCUAUGAAGGUUCUCAGUGACAGCUUCUUCUGCCAAACCAGGCAGAAGUAGGGGUUUAUAUACCUUACAGGGGUUUUGGAAAUUGUCCAAUAGUGAAGGUCAGGGGAAAGUGACCUAUGGGCUUACAGAGGUAUAAGCAGGGUGCAAAAGGCUUCUUUCAAGAAAGAGAGGGGCUUCUAAGGCCCAAUCAUCGUGACUUGGCAUUUCCUAGCUCAGGCUUCUGACCUCCAGGGAGGCCUUGCAGGCCCUGGGCCUGCUACACUUUGCCACUUUCAGGAUGAAAGGUCUGUCAUCUUCUCUGCCUGCAGACAAACAGUCAUGACUACAUUUCUGAACAGCAGUAACAUGAGAAAAUGAUGCUCUGUCUUUCUAAAAGGCAAUUUCCCCUCAGCUUAAAUGCUUUCUAUAAAAUGGAAUUAACUUCAACACGGAAAAGAGGUUACUGGGAGCAGCUCAAAUCCAAUCACUGAGAUUAUUCAUUACAGAGGAAAAUGUUCUGAAGUCUUCUGCCAUACAUCAGUGACAGUAUGGUCUUCAUGUAGACAAGUAUAUAACCUGCAAGGGAGAUGUUCAAUAGGAAGAUAUUUCUGCGCACCAGAAUCCUUAUAAAGCCUAUCUUCCUGCAGGGAAUGAGAUCGAGAUUGGAUGGAGGUUCCCCUGUCAGCUGGGAUCAGUUCAAUGUUGCUUUCACUCAGACAUCUUUAAAAAGUAAUCAUACAACACAGGUGACAUUUGUGCAGAUACAUGUUGAGGUAAUUCUCUUUUCCUUACCUUGGAGGGAUGACAACAUUUUCAAAUACCCAGGUUCUCAAUAAAAACAUAACUUACAUACAUCUUUGUCAUAAAAACAGAAAUCAAGGUCUCCUUAAUCACCCUCUUUUUUUUUUCAUUCUCCAUAAGUUUUACCUCAUUAUUUUGAAGUCUUAAAGAAGCUUAUCAUUCCUUCUGUUUACCUUUACCAAAAGGUAGUAACAUAACCUCAUGAAUUUGCAGAACCAUCAAAAUUCAGGGGUUACAUUUCUAAUUCCACAAGUAGUCAUAGACAUGGAUCCUGCCCUCAGUAGGCAGAUUUCCUUUGUAAGCUCAGAUACAGAAAUAACUGUUUAAAAUAUGGCUUGAAAGGACUCUUUCUAUACACACCUUUUGUCCAUGGCAGGAUCCAAUUCUUUGUGUCCACUACCAUGUUUGCCUACAGCAAUACCCUUAGCUUUUGCUAGCUCUCAGAAGCAUUCUUCCUACUCAGAGUCUGAGGUCACUGAACAGGACCAUCCUGAGCAAUGCACAUCAAGGCAGACAAGACUCCCCAGAUACCUGGGCCACAAAAUAGUCUUUGGAAUGCUUCAUGUCUACAGCUGGCCCCACACUAAGUUUCAGCACAAAAAGAGUUCCAGAAUUUAUCUUAACCAAUUAACUGCAGAAGGCAACGGAAUUUUGUUUAUUUUUCCAAAUCAGGAGGAAGAAAUAAAAUAUAUUCUCAAUUCUUAGGGUACAAGGACUAUAAUGUUUCUACAGGCAUGGAGAUAUUUUUCAUCUGAACACACAAAACAAUAAUCCCAGCAGUCACUCUGCUGA